rnacentral:lncRNA from 1 species
GACCUGGGGGGGUCAAGGGAGGGGAUCCUGGGUGCAAGUGGGGUGCAGGGAGCAAACUGCGUGCAAAGAGUGGGCAGGGAGCGUGCAAAGAGUGUGCAGGGAGUGUGCAGGGAGCAUGCAACCGGUGUGCAAAGAGUGUGCAGGGAGCGUGCAGCCAGUGUGCAGGGAGCAUGCAAGCGUGGUGCCAGCAUAGUGCAGGAAGUGUGCAACCCGUGUGCAAAGUAUGUGCAAAGAGUGUGCAGGGAGCGUGCAACCAGUGUGCAAAGAGUGUGCAGGGAGCGUGCAAUCAGUGUGCAAAGAGUGUGCAGGGAGCGUGCAACCGGUGUGCAAAGAGUGUGCAGGGAGCGUGCAGCCAGCGUGCAAAGAGUGUGCAGGGAGCGUGCAACCAGUGUGCGAAGAAUAUGCAAAGAGUGUGCAGGGAGCGUGCAACCAGUGUGCGAAGAAUAUGCAAAGUGUGUGCAGGGAGCAUGCAACCAGCGUGCAAAGAGUGUGCAGGGAGAAUGCAACCAGCAUGCAGAGAGUGUGCAGGGAGCAUGCAACCAGUGUGCAAAGAAUAUGAAAAGAGUGUGCAACCAGUGUGCAAAGAGUGUGCAGGGAGCAAACUGCGUGCAAAGAGUGUGCAGGGAGCGUGCAGCCAGUGUGCAAAGAGUGUGCAGGGAGCGUGCAAGCGUGGUGCCAGCGUAGUGCAGGAAGCGUGCAACCCGUGUGCAAAGUAUGUGCAAAGAGUGUGCAGGGAGCGUGCAACCAGUGUGCAAAGAGUGUGCAAAGUGUGUGCAGGGAGCGUGCAACCAGCGUGGAAAGAGUGUGCAGGGAGCAUGCAACCCGUGUGCAAAGUAUGUGCAAAGAGUGUGCAGGGAGCGUGCAACCAGUGUGCAAAGAGUGUGCAGGGAGC